UUGCUUCUGUGGUACAUAUACUAAAACUGAAACAGUACAGAGAAGAUUAGCAUGGCCCCUGCACAAGGAUGACAUAGGUAUUCAUGAAGCACAAUCCAUGGAA
rnacentral:snRNA from 1 species